AGCACCAGUCUCUUUCCUAAGUCUUAAUGGUCUCAGUUCCAUUUACCAGUGUGCUAUAUUAACUCUGUCAACUUUUCUGUGUUUACUUUUUCUAGCUGUUGCGUGGUUCUCUAAAUAACAGGCGCGCGCGUAGAUGACAAUUGUUUGAUCCAUCAAGUGUAGACAUCUGUGGACCUCCUACCUAAAUAGCUGCCUGAUCUCCUUCCCACCUUCCUUCUCCCAUCCUGCCAGCAUAACUAUUAAGUCCAAGAAGGCAGAGGAGGAGAAGAAGAAAAGACAAAACCAUGGAUAUCUCAGAUGUUAAAGGAUCUUUCCAGUGGGCCGGUGUUGUAAAGGCCACAUGCGUCCACUCAUCUUUGCAGAGAGGAUGAAUUGGAACCAGCUCCAGAGGUGACGGGCUUGGUUUUCUGAGCACAAGAGCAAGUCAUCCUACCGGAACAGAACGGAAACUCCCGUCUAAGGUGAUACUUUCUGAAAGGCACUUUGAAAACAAACCCCCCCCCAAAUCUCUUAUAAACCACAGCUGUUAAAAUCCAGAGGUACCCAGCUAGGUAUUAGAGAGUU